AACGAACGCUGGCGGCAUGCCUAACACAUGCAAGUCGAACGAGACCUUCGGGUCUAGUGGCGCACGGGUGCGUAACGCGUGGGAACCUGCCCUUAGGUUCGGAAUAACUCCCCGAAAGGGGUGCUAAUACCGGAUAAUGUCUUCGGACCAAAGAUUUAUCGCCUUUGGAUGGGCCCGCGUUGGAUUAGCUAGUUGGUAGGGUAAAAGCCUACCAAGGCGACGAUCCAUAGCUGGUCUGAGAGGAUGAUCAGCCACACUGGGACUGAGACACGGCCCAGACUCCUACGGGAGGCAGCAGUGGGGGAUAUUUGAAAAUGGGCGAAAGCCUGAUCCAGCAAUGCCGCGUGAGUGAUGAAGGCCUUAGGGUUGUAAAGCUCUUUUACCCGGGAUGAUAAUGACAGUACCGGGAGAAUAAGCUCCGGCUAACUCCGUG
rnacentral:rRNA from 1 species